CACACACACACACACACACACACACACACCCCAUUACCUCUGCUAUACCAUGUUAUUAGACAUUGGUUUAACUCCAUUUAAGCAUUUAAACGUUAAAAGCAUUGCACUUGUACGACGUUGUAAUACUUUUUUUUUUUACCAGCCGAUGACGACGAAGUGAAAGACGAUGAAGUUUGUUUAAACGAUCUUACAAAGUUGGAAGAUGAUUAUCGAGAGGAAUUGCCGUAAGAUCCUAACGCGAUCGUUUUAACACAAUCGCAGUCUGAUUUUCCGUUUACAUCUCCUGCUCGCUGGUCUCCCUUAACGCUGGCGGGUCCGUCAACGGCCGUUCCAGGCAGAGGAGAAGGCUUGAUUGCGCCAAAGACUCCAGACAUCGAAUCCUUGCUCCGAGGGGAAAUCAUCGAAAACGACGUUUGGUAGCACUGGACAAGUCGGAUAUCCUUGCUUGGAUCCUUUUAAAGUUGCCCGAUAAACUGCUGAGAGUUGAUCUCUCCUCUUGUCCAAAGGUUUUUCGUUCAUUUUUACUUGUAAUACUGCCACUAGGGUUGAUGUAGUAGCUCCACAACAUAACCUUAAAGCCUGUGACUGGAUCCGGUCUAUUUUCCCAAGUCAUGUUUUUGAAGCAGAUUGGUAAAUAAUGCAUCCGUAAUCAAUAACAGAUGGAAUUAAAG